GUGCUUAUUUCAGCAGCAGUACUAAAAGUGGAAUGAUACAGAGAAGAUCAGAAUGGCCCCUGUGUAAGGACGACACAAAAAUUCAUGAACCAUUCUAUAUUUAA